GCUCCGCUGGCGCAAUGGUAGCGCGCCAGACUUCUAAUCUGGAGGCUGCGAGUUCGAGUCUCGCGCGGAGUG